rnacentral:tRNA from 1 species
AAGAAAUUAGUUAAAUUAUAACAUUAGUUUGUCAAGCUAAAAUUAUCUUAUAGAUAUUUCUUA